GACCUCGUUAGCUAAGUUGUCAGAGCAGCAGGGCGUAAACCUGAAAGACCUGCGUUCGAAUCCCAGUCGAGGUCG